AAAUAGUGUGUCCUACAAUGGCCUAGACCCUGGAGGGCCUGCAAGCAUCCAAAUACAUUUUUGACUCCCACAGUGAUUAUACUGAGCAAGGCGGUUUGCAGGAUCCUGAUGGAAAAGCUGUGUCUGUUGAGCCAUUGAUCACACUUGCAGUUUCAGGUUCAGGCAGGCAGAAGUCAGAGCAUGAGGACAACAUUGAGGUCUCUCCAGGCGAUUUAUGGACUCUCGGAUUUGGUAGUGAUUCAGAUAUGAUGGCGAACCUAAUCACAAAAUAACCAUGAGAUCAUGAGAUUGUCAGGGGUCUAGUAAAAAGAUGGUGGUCCCCUUAACCAUGAAAGUUAUGAUGAAAUUUUGUAAGCCAGUAAUUAAGAGAUCACAGAGAUCCUAACCGUGAUACUGAACAAGGAAUUUUGCAAAUCACCAGUCUGGCUGAGGUAUUGCUGAUGCACGCAUAAACCACAGCAUGCACCAUGGGACUGUCCCAGGGACCUGGUUCACUGAUGAGAUGUCCCCACACGUCUUCCCG
rnacentral:lncRNA from 10 species